rnacentral:rRNA from 1 species
AUUGAACGCUGGCGGCAUGCUUUACACAUGCAAGUCGAACGGCAGCGCGGGCUUCGGCCUGGCGGCGAGUGGCGAACGGGUGAGUAAUGCAUCGGAACGUGCCCAGUAGUGGGGGAUAGCCCGGCGAAAGCCGGAUUAAUACCGCAUACGACCUGAGGGUGAAAGCGGGGGACCGAAAGGCCUCGCGCUAUUGGAGCGGCCGAUGUCGAAUUAGCUAGUUGGUGGGGUAAAGGCUUACCAAGGCGACGAUCCGUAGCUGGUCUGAGAGGACGACCAGCCACACUGGGACUGAGACACGGCCCAGACUCCUACGGGAGGCAGCAGUGGGGAAUUUUGGACAAUGGGGGCAACCCUGAUCCAGCCAUGCCGCGUGCGGGAAGAAGGCCUUCGGGUUGUAAACCGCUUUUGUUCGGGAAGAAAUCCUCUGGGCUAAUACCCCGGGGGGAUGACGGUACCGGAAGAAUAAGCACCGGCUAACUACGUG